rfam:Musa acuminata subsp. malaccensis Doubled-haploid Pahang (DH-Pahang) genomic chromosome, chr8
AUGCACGGUGCACCCCGGGCCUCUCUGAGGAGGCCUGUGACGAUGGAGGCCCCAAUGCCCGUGCGAGAUCAGUCGCCGUUCGGCGUUGCAGUUCUGUUGAUUGAUUCCGAUGACUGAUCUGUGUCAAAGAAACGGCUAAAUCU